AGCCCUUGCUUCAAAAUCCAAAUGGCUGAGUUCUCACUCAGAAGUGCUGCUCUUCUUGAAAAUGUUGUUUGCCCAUGAAGUAGAAGAGAAAAUUGAGAACUGCAGCUGAGCAGGUUAAGAAAAAUGGUGCUGUGUUCUAUGAAGCUGAGAAGCAUAUAGUGAUGAAAUACCAAGGUUGCUGUAGCCUUAAGUGGAUGUUCAUAACCAGCAACGUGGAACGAUACUUGACACCCUGGAAAGCACACAUUAAUAUAGAACAAGCUUGGAUGCGCCCUUUGGGGUUCUUUCAUUAAGGUAGUGUGGCAGAAAGGAAUGCAUCAUGUUCCUACGCAAUGAAGUCCAGACCACCUGGGAGCCACGGCAGCAACCACAGCACUGCAUAAUUGCAGUACAAUAA